rnacentral:SRP_RNA from 1 species
CAGGAGAUCUGCGCCUUCCGGCUGACCGGCCAGUCCAAGGCCGUCGUCGCCUGCGCCCUGAUCAGGAAGGAGCGCGGCUGGGCGUUCCGCUGCCUGAACACGCCUCAGGAGCAGGGCCAGGUCGUGCAGCAGCUCCGGGAGAAGAUCGCCAAGGACUUU